AUGCACAAUGGACAAUAUGUCUUUGCUCAUGAGCCAGUAAGAAUUCUCUGCUUUGAAUAUUUGCAUGGUGGAAACCUCGAGAGUUACCUUUCUGAUGAGGAGCCAUGCAGUCCUGAUUGGCAGACAUGUUAUAAAAUAAUUAAGGGACUGUGUGAGGGUUUAAAUUAUCUUCAUAACGGGCAUAUUUACCAUCUAGACAUAAAGCCCGCAAAUAUAUUGCUGGACACCAACAUGAUGCCGAAAAUUGGAGAUUUUGGUAUAUCAAGAAUCUUUCCUUCAACACAAACCAUUACCACCGCAACAAUGAUGGGGACAAUGGGAUACAUACCACCAGAAUUUAUCAAAAAACAAGAAAUCUCACCAAAAUAUGACGUGUUCAGUUUGGGUGUCAUAAUAAUAAAUAUAAUGGCAGGACGCCAGAGCUAUUAUGAUUGUGGAAUUGUUCCUUCUGAAAUGAUCAUUGAGCAUGUAUGUGAUAAAUGGCAAAGAAGGCUACAUUCAGCAAUGUCGCCACAAACAUGGCAAGAAGUAAUCGAGACUUGCAUCAGAAUAGCAUUCAGAUGUGUGGAACAUGACCGACAGAAAAGACCACUUAUAAGAGAGAUUGUUGAUGAACUCAAUAGAAUUGAUAUUAAAAAAAAUGUCACUUACAUACGA
rnacentral:rRNA from 1 species